GACGUAGGGGGCGAGCGUUGUCCGGAAUUACUGGGCGUAAAGCGCGUGCAGGCGGCUUUGUAAGUCCCGUGUGAAAGCCUACGGCUCAACUGUAGGAGGCCGCGGGAUACUGCGAGGCUAGAGGGCAGGAGAGGGAAGUAGAAUUCCCGGUGUAGCGGUGAAAUGCGUAGAUAUCGGGAGGAAUGCCAGUGGCGAAGGCGGCUUCCUGGCCUGUCCCUGACGCUGAGACGCGAAAGCUGGGGGAGCGAACGG
rnacentral:rRNA from 1 species